UACAGAGGGGGCAAGCGUUGUUCGGAAUUACUGGGCGUAAAGGGCGCGUAGGCGGCCUGUUAAGUCGAACGUGAAAUCCCCGGGCUCAACCCGGGAACUGCGUCCGAUACUGGCAGGCUUGAAUUCGGGAGAGGGAUGUGGAAUUCCAGGUGUAGCGGUGAAAUGCGUAGAUAUCGGGAAGAACACCGGUGGCGAAGGCGGCUAUCUGGACCGACAUUGACGCUGAGGCGCGAAAGCGUGGGGAGCAAACAGG
rnacentral:rRNA from 1 species